rnacentral:rRNA from 1 species
UACGGAGGGUGCAAGCGUUAACCGGAAUUACUGGGCGUAAAGCGCGCGCAGGCGGUUUGUUAAGUCCGUUGUGAAAGCUCCGAGCUCAACUUGGGAAUUGCAGUGGAUACUGGCAGGCUGGAGUACGGUAGAGGAAGGUGGAAUUCCCGGUGUAGCAGUGAAAUGCGUAGAUAUCUCUAAGAACACCAGUUGCGAAGGCGGCUGGCUGGGUCCACAUUGACGCUGAGGCUCGAAAGCGUGGGGAGCAAACAGG